rnacentral:rRNA from 1 species
GACGAACGCUGGCGGCGUGCUUAACACAUGCAAGUCGUACGGUAAGGCCCUUUCGGGGGUACACGAGUGGCGCACGGGUGAGUAACACGUGAGUAACCUGCCCACAACUUUGGGAUAACGCUAGUAAACUGGUGCUAAUACUGGAUAUGUGCUCCUGCUGCAUGGUGUGGGUUGGAAAGCUCCGGCGGUUGUGGAUGGACUCGCGGCCUAUCAGCUUGUUGGUGGGGUAGUGGCCUACCAAGGCGGCGACGGGUAGCCGGCCUGAGAGGGUGACCGGCAACGUUGGGACUGGGAUACGGCCAAGACUCCUACGGGUGGCAGAAGUGGGGAAUAUUGCACAAUGGGAGCAAGCCUGAUGCAGCAACGCCGAGUGCGGGAUGACGGUCUUCGGGUUGUAAACCGAUUUCAGCAGGGACGAAGCUUUUUGUGACGGUACCUGCAGAAGAAGCCCCGGCUAACUACGUG